GCAGCCUUAGCUUAGUGGUAGAGCGCCUGCUUCACACGCAGGAGGUCAGUGGUUCGAACCCACUAGGCUGCACCA
rnacentral:tRNA from 1 species